UACGUAGGGCGCAAGCGUUGUCCGGAAUUAUUGGGCGUAAAGAGCUCGUAGGCGGCUUGUCACGUCGGGUGUGAAAUUUCGAGGCUCAACCUCGAAACGCCACUCGAUACUGCUGUGACUGGAGUCCGGUAGAGGAGUGCGGAAUUCCUGGUGUAGCGGUGAAAUGCGCAGAUAUCAGGAGGAACACCAACGGCGAAGGCAGCACUCGUGGGCCGGUACUGACGCUGGGGAGCGAAAGCGUGGGGAGCAAACAGG
rnacentral:rRNA from 1 species